rnacentral:rRNA from 1 species
GAUGAACGCUGGCGGCGUGCCUAAUACAUGCAAGUCGAGCGAACAGACGAGGAGCUUGCUCCUCUGACGUUAGCGGCGGACGGGUGAGUAACACGUGGAUAACCUACCUAUAAGACUGGGAUAACUUCGGGAAACCGGAGCUAAUACCGAAAAAUUAUUGAACCGGAUGGUUCAAUAGUGAAAGACGGGUUUGCUGUUACUUAUAGAAGGAUCCGCGCCGCAUUAGCUAGUUGGUAAGGUAACGGCUUACCAAGGCAACGAUGCGUAGCCGACCUGAGAGGGUGAUCGGCCACACUGGAACUGAGACACGGUCCAGACUCCUACGGGAGGCAGCAGUAGGGAAUCUUCCGCAAUGGGCGAAAGCCUGACGGAGCAACGCCGCGUGAGUGAUGAAGGUCUUCGGAUCGUAAAACUCUGUUAUUAGGGAAGAACAAAUGUGUAAGUAACUAUGCACGUCUUGACGGUACCUAAUCAGAAAGCCACGGCUAACUACGUG